ACCAUGGGCGGCGUGCUAAUACAUGCAGUCGAGCGGACCGACGGGAGCUUGCUCCCUUAGGUCAGCGGCGGACGGGUGAGUAACACGUGGGUAACCUGCCUGUAAGACUGGGAUAACUCCGGGAAACCGGGGCUAAUACCGGAUGCUUGAUUGAACCGCAUGGUUCAAUCAUAAAAGGCGGCUUCGGCUGCCGUUUACAGAUGGACCCGCGGCGCAUUAGCUAGUUGGUGAGGUAACGGCUCACCAAGGCGACGAUGCGUAGCCGACCUGAGAGGGUGAUCGGCCACACUGGGACUGAGACACGGCCCAGACUCCUACGGGAGGCAGCAGUAGGGAAUCUUCCGCAAUGGACGAAAGUCUGACGGAGCAACGCCGCGUGAGUGAUGAAGGUUUUCGGAUCGUAAAGCUCUGUUGUUAGGGAAGAACAAGUACCGUUCGAAUAGGGCGGUACCUUGACGGUACCUAACCAGAAAGCCACGGCUAACUACGUGCCAGCAGCCGCGGUAAUACGUAGGUGGCAAGCGUUGUCCGGAAUUAUUGGGCGUAAAGCGCGCGCAGGCGGUUUCUUAAGUCUGAUGUGAAAGCCCCCGGCUCAACCGGGGAGGGUCAUUGGAAACUGGGGAACUUGAGUGCAGAAGAGGAGAGUGGAAAUUCCACGUGUAGCGGUGAAAUGCGUAGAGAUGUGGAGGAACACCAGUGGCGAAGCGACUCUCUGGUCUGUAACUGACGCUGAGCGCGAAGCGUGGGGGAGCGAACAGGAUUAGAUACCCUGGUAGUCCACGCCGUAACGAUGAGUGCUAGUGUUAGAAGGGUUUCCCGCCCUUAGUGCUGCAGCAAACGCAUAGCACUUCCGCCUGGGGAGUACGUCGCAGACUGGAAACUCAAGAUUGACGGGGCCGCCACAGCCGGUGGGAGCAUGUGUUUAGUUCCGAGGCCACGCGAGAACCUACAGUCUGACGUCUCUGAACUCCUAGGAAUAGCUUCGAUUCGGGCAUGCUGUGAGUCCAUGGCUGUCG
rnacentral:rRNA from 1 species